GGCGAACGGGUGAGUACACGUGGGCAACCUGCCCCUAGCACUGGGAUAACCCCGGGAAACCGGGGCUAAUACCGUGAUACGACCUCCGAGGGCAUCCUCGGUGGUGGAAAGGUUUACUGGCUAGGGAUGGGCCCGCUGGCCUAUCAGCUUGUUGGUGGGGUGACGGCCCACCAAGGCGACGACGGGUAGCCGGCCUGAGAGGGCGACCGGCCACACUGGGACUGAGACACGGUCCAACUCAUACGGGAGGCAGCAGUGGGGAAUAUUGCACAAUGGGCGAAAGCCUGAUGCAGCGACGCCGCGUGAGGGACGAAGGCCUUCGGGUUGUAAACCUCUUUCAGCAGGGACGAAGCGAGAGUGACGGUACCUGCAGAAGAAGCCCCGGCUAACUACGUGCCAGCCGCCG
rnacentral:rRNA from 1 species